UUUCCGUAGGUGAACCUGCGGAAGGAUCAUUAUUGUAUAACCGAGGUGCGUGGGCUGUCGCUGACCCGAAAGGUCGUGCACGCCCGAGUGCCCUCACACACAUCCAUCUCACCCCUAUGUGCACCACCGCGUGGGUCCCCCUUUGGCUUGUUCGGAGGGGGGCUUACGUUUUCACACAAACUUUGUAUGCAGUGUAGAAUGUAUUUUUUGUUUUUGCGAUCACGCAAUCAAUACGACUUUCAACAACGGAUCUCUUGGCUCUC
rnacentral:misc_RNA from 1 species